CAGUAGCCGCGGGAAUACGAAGGGGGCUAGCGUUGUUCGGAUUUACUGGGCGUAAAGCGCACGUAGGCGGAUCGAUCAGUCAGGGGUGAAAUCCCAGAGCUCAACUCUGGAACUGCCUUUGAUACUGUCGAUCUGGAGUAUGGAAGAGGUGAGUGGAAUUCCGAGUGUAGAGGUGAAAUUCGUAGAUAUUCGGAGGAACACCAGUGGCGAAGGCGGCUCACUGGUCCAUUACUGACGCUGAGGUGCGAAAGCGUGGGGAGCAAACAGGAUUAGAUACCCCAGUAGUCCCUGUCUCUUUACC
rnacentral:rRNA from 1 species